rnacentral:rRNA from 1 species
GAUGAACGCUGGCGGCGUGCCUAAUACAUGCAAGUCGAGCGAACAGACGAGGAGCUUGCUCCUCUGACGUUAGCGGCGGACGGGUGAGUAACACGUGGAUAACCUACCUAUAAGACUGGGAUAACUUCGGGAAACCGGAGCUAAUACCGGAUAAUAUAUUGAACCGCAUGGUUCAAUAGUGAAAGACGGUUUUGCUGUCACUUAUAGAUGGAUCCGCGCCGCAUUAGCUAGUUGGUAAGGUAACGGCUUACCAAGGCGACGAUGCGUAGCCGACCUGAGAGGUGGUUCGCCCACACGGAACUGGGGACCCGUCCCAGACCCCAAGGGAGGCCAGCGUAGGGAAAUCUUCCGAAAGGGGCGAAGGCCUGAGGAGGCAAGGCGGCGGAGGUGAGGAGGGCCUCCGAUUCGUAAACCCCUUUUAUAGGGAAAAAACAAAGGUGUAGUUAACAAGGAAGUUUUGACGGUAACCUAACAAAAAGGCCCCGGUAACUUCCGU